rnacentral:rRNA from 1 species
ACAGCAGCCGCCACGGUAAAACCAGCAGCCCAAGUGGUGGUCGCGAUUAUUGGGCCUAAAGCGCUCGUAGCCGGGCCGGUAAGUCCCUUGUGAAAUCGGACGGCCUAACCGUUCGGCGUGCAAGGGAUACUGUCGGUCUUGAGGCCGGGAGACGUCCGAGGUACUCCGGGGGUAGCGGUGAAAUGCGUAGAGAUGUGGAGGAACACCAGUGGCGAAGGCGACUCUCUGGUCUGUAACUGACGCUGAGGAGCGAAAGCGUGGGGAGCAAACAGGAUUAGAUACCCCGGUAGUCCCUGUCUCUUAUA